GUGUAUUCUCAAAAUGACAGAUUUAUUUAAUUAAAUGAACCAUUCUUUACAUUCUCUGAUGUGCGGAACAGAAUGCUACAGUGUAAAACAAUAUCAAAGGGCGGCUUUGGGGACUACAUUUACCAAGAGAUGUCUGACACACUUGUUUAUCAAGCAAAGGAAAUGUAAUCUGGUUGAGCUGGCACUGGAGCCGACUGAAGGCCCAUCCCUCUCUCUGAAGGUGAGGUGAUUUAGGGGCCUAGGAGGGAGGGAGGGGUUAAUUUUUCUUGAUUAGCAUGUGCAGCCUGGAGCCCCAGAGGCAGGUGUAAUUAAUUCUGCUGAUGUUAAUCACCAGGGCCGGGCCAGGGUAAUCAGGCCUAUGCAGAUAGGUCGUUGUGCAGACACGCAGAACAUGGAAACGCAAUCUGUGAUGGGGUGGCAGAUCAGGAAAAGCAAAGAGCCUCUGGAUCUCAUUGUCAGUCUCGCGUUGGGGCGGAGCUGAGGGCCAGCAUGUCCUCCCAGAGCUGUCCCAUGAUUCCACGGUGCUCGCAUGGCACUGCGGUCACAGUGAGGUCAAUAGGGUUCAACUCUGAACCGUUCUCAGCAGGCUGGACGCAAGCACACGGCAAGACAAGCAGACUCACAGAUGGCGGCGUAGCCGAGAACCUAGGCUAAACGCACACCCACACGCACCUUCCAGGGCAGCCAUUUUGUGUUUGCCGAAGGGGACAUUGUGCAAGCUUUGGAGGCCGAAGGACAGGAGCUCCCCAGACGAUGUUUCACCAGCUAAUGUCAAACAAAAUUCAGAACUUAACGGUUUAAUUUGAACAUGGAGAAGUAAUUUUUUUUUUGCUUGCGAGCAAUCUGUUUCAAUAACAAUCUUGCACAGCAUGCUGUCACCAGUGUGUGGUAUUUCUUAUUAGUUUUUUUUUAUUUUUUUUAUCAAGAAGGCAUCCUAUAGUCUUAAGUCUCCACAAGAUGGUUCCUGUGGAAAAUGUUUAUGUUUGAUGAACAAGCAACCAGCACUGGACUGAAGUGAAUUACAAAUGCAAUCUAACUUUAUGUUUGCAGUAGUUUGCAGGUGUUCAGAUCGCUGCAAUGUUUUUAGUGUCUUGUUAAAAUCCUAUAUUUAUAUGUACAGGCCGGCAUACACGUCACAUGUAUAAAAGAAAUGGCAUGAAAUGUAUAUUAACUGAAUAUCUGAAAUGUCUGUUUGCAUAAAUUGUUUUUAUGCGAUG